GAGCUCUCUGUCUUUUCCAUCUGGGCUGCACACUGAGCUGAGAAGGUCAGGGACACGUUCUACGGGCAGUACACAUGACAGACUAUGGACAUCAGUAAGCAAAGGAGUCCAGCCUGUUUCACAAAUACUCUGCACAUGUCACACUGUGGAGCAAAACAUGAACAGAAGUCCUAUUUGGAAGUCUCCUCCUAGAAUGUUGGUUGCCUAGCAACAAGAU
rnacentral:lncRNA from 1 species